GACGGGGGGGGCAAGCGUUGUUCGGAAUUAUUGGGCGUAAAGGGCGCGUAGGCGGUUUGGCAAGUUUGGUGUGAAAUCUUCGGGCUCAACUCGAAGUCUGCACCGAAAACUGCCGGGCUUGAGUAUGGGAGAGGUGGGUGGAAUUUCCGGUGUAGCGGUGAAAUGCGUAGAUAUCGGAAGGAACACCUGUGGCGAAAGCGGCUCACUGGACCAUUACUGACGCUGAGGCGCGAAAGCGUGGGGAGCAAACAGG
rnacentral:rRNA from 1 species